AUUGAACGCUGGCGGCAUGCCUUACACAUGCAAGUCGAACGGCAGCACGGGUGCUUGCACCUGGUGGCGAGUGGCGAACGGGUGAGUAAUACAUCGGAACAUGCCCUGUAGUGGGGGAUAGCCCGGCGAAAGCCGGAUUAAUACCGCAUACGAUCUACGGAUGAAAGCGGGGGACCUUCGGGCCUCGCGCUAUAGGGUUGGCCGAUGGCUGAUUAGCUAGUUGGUGGGGUAAAGGCCUACCAAGGCGACGAUCAGUAGCUGGUCUGAGAGGACGACCAGCCACACUGGGACUGAGACACGGCCCAGACUCCUACGGGAGGCAGCAGUGGGGAAUUUUGGACAACGGGCGAAAGCCUGAUCCAGCAAUGCCGCGUGUGUGAAGAAGGCCUUCGGGUUGUAAAGCACUUUUGUCCGGAAAGAAAUCCUUGGCCCUAAUACGGUCGGGGGAUGACGGUACCGGAAGAAUAAGCACCGGCUAACUACGUG
rnacentral:rRNA from 1 species